AACAAAUGACAGCUGGUUGACUUGGAACAGGUCCAGUUUCGCUUUCCUAGAGAUGGCGACAGCAGUGAGGAUAUUUCUUUUCAAAGAAUUUUCCCGCGCCGUCACCCAUUCCGUUCGCGACAAUUCGCGUUCAUACGUCAGUUGCGUUCAGCCCAGCCGUACACGUUUUGGAGCAUUUGUCAGGAUCAAAGUAGCGAAGCUUAACUGAUUUACACAUGGUGGUUUAAUUCAUAAGUAAACAGGAUUUUAACUCUGGGUGGCUUUAAAAAAGAUCAAAUAGCUGAAGAUUAUCCAAUACCAGUGAAAAUAGAUCAAUCGAUGGAAAAUUCCUGCAAGACUAAAGACAAUACAGUUUCAGCAUCUGAAUCCAUGGAAGAAAUUACACCUCACUUAAAAUGUACCUGCGCUUCAACAUGAAGACUAUUAGCCUGCAUAUCAAAUACAUCUAAACGAGAGACAAAGAUCCUUGGAAUUAUCCUGGAACUUCAGAGUGCUCAAUCUGCAAUAUAGCAGAUAACAUCACAGGAACUGUUACAAUAUGCCCAGAAUGAGGCAAAUAGGAGAGAAAUGGAUCAAGAGAAAUUGGCAAUGGAGAGAGAAAGAUUGCAGAUGUUGAGGGAAAUGCUUGAUCUAAAGAGACAAAAUAUGGAACUUGAAAGAACAAAAUUGAUGGCAUUGAUGAGCAUCAACGAAAACUUAACUCUGAUUGUAAAUCCUCAGAGGAGACCAUAAAUUAGUUUUUGCUUCAUCCUACCUUUUUUUAAUUACUUUAAUUACGCUAAUACUCAGAUUUUUGCAUACCAACUAUGUCAACACAAGCCAAAGUGUUUCUUUACUGAAUAUAUAUAGUAUAUAAGAUUUUUCUAUUAUAAGAUUUUUAUUUGUUUCAGCUACAAAACUUGAAUGUGUGGCUAUUCGUUUUGAUUUAAUAUUUUGUAUAUAUAUAAUUUUGGAAGAUGAGCUUCCUUUUUUUCAUAAUCUUGAGAUAAAACAUGUGCAAUAUUAAGUUUGGAAAAUUCCUCAGUGAAAUAUAUUCUUCGAUUUCUACGAAUCGAUUUUUU